rnacentral:rRNA from 1 species
UUCGGGCUGACGAGUGGCGAACGGGUGAGUAAUACAUCGGAACCGUGCCCAGUCGUGGGGGAUCUACUCGAAAAGAGUAGCUAAUACCGCAUACGAUCUGAGGAUGAAAGCGGGGGACCUUGGCCCUCGCGCGAUUGGAGCGGCCGAUGGCAGAUUAGGUAGUUGGUGGGAUAAAAGCUCCAAGCCGACGAUCUGUAGCUGGUCUGAGAGGACGACCAGCCACACUGGGACUGAGACGGCCCAGACUCCUACGGGAGGCAGCAGUGGGGAAUUUUGGACAAUGGGCGAAAGCCUGCCAGCAAUGCCGCGUGCAGGAUGAAGGCCUUCGGGUUGUAAACUGCUUUUGUACGGAAAAAAAGCUUCUCCUAAUACGAGAGGCCCAUGACGGUACCGUAAGAAUAAGCACCGGCUCUACGUGCCAGCAGCCGCGGUAAUACGUAGGGUGCGAGCGUUAAUCGGAAUUACUGGGUAAAGCGUGCGCAGGCGGUUAUGUAAGACAGAUGUGAAAUCCCCGGGCUCAACCUGGGCUGCAUUUGUGACUGCAUGGCUAGAGUACGGUAGAGGGGGAUGGAAUUCCGCGUGUAGGUGAAAUGCGUAGAUAUGCGGAGGAACACCGAUGGCGAAGGCAAUCCCCUGGACCUGUUGACGCUCAUGCACGAAAGCGUGGGGAGCAAACAGGAUUAGAUACCCUGGUAGUCCACCCUAAACGAUGUCAACUGGUUGUUGGGAAUUAGUUUUCUCAGUAACGAAGCUAACGCG